AGAUGGACACUUCAUAUGUGAUAUCAUGUGUUCUUUAAAAUGCUUCACAAAUAUUAUUAUCUCAUUCUAAGAAUAUAUCUUAAAAAUUACUGUAUAUGUUAGAUAUUAUCAAAAUCUGAUACAAGCACUCCAUAUGAGAUAUGAAAAAGGCAAAAGGAAGGUUGCCUAACUUAUGUGAAAAGGGUUGAUGUACAUAAGUUGGUGCUAGAUCAGAUUUUGUAUUAGUUUAUAGGU
rnacentral:lncRNA from 1 species